rnacentral:rRNA from 1 species
AUUGAACGCUGGCGGCAUGCUUUACACAUGCAAGUCGAACGGUAACAGGGUGCUUGCACCGCUGACGAGUGGCGAACGGGUGAGUAAUGCGUCGGAACGUGCCGAGUAGUGGGGGAUAACGCAGCGAAAGGUGUGCUAAUACCGCAUACGUACUGAGGUAGAAAGUGGGGGACCUUCGGGCCUCACGCUAUUCGAGCGGCCGACGUCUGAUUAGCUAGUAGGUGAGGUAAAGGCUCACCUAGGCGACGAUCGGUAGCGGGUCAGUGAGGAUGAUCCGCCACACUGGGACUGAGACACGGCCCAGACUCCUACGGGAGGCAGCAGUGGGGAAUUUUGGACAAUGGGCGAAAGCCUGAUCCAGCCAUGCCGCGUGUCUGAAGAAGGCCUUCGGGUUGUAAAGGACUUUUGUCAGGGAGGAAAUCCCUAGUGCUAAUAACACUGGGGGAUGACAGUACCUGAAGAAUAAGCACCGGCUAACUACGUGCCAGCCGCCGCAGUAA